rnacentral:tRNA from 1 species
GCAUUGGUGGUCCAAUGGUAGAAUUCUCGCUUUCCAUGUGGGAGACCUGGGUUCAAUUUCUGGCCAAUGUA